rnacentral:rRNA from 1 species
UAGGGAAUAUUGCGCAAUGGGGGAAACCCUGACGCAGCAACGCCGCGUGGAGGAUGACACUUUUCGGAGCGUAAACUCCUUUUAUCGGGAAAGAAUAAUGACGGUACCCGAUGAAUAAGCACCGGCUAACUCCGUGCCAGCAGCCGCGGUAAUACGGAGGGUGCAAGCGUUACUCGGAAUCACUGGGCGUAAAGGGUGCGUAGGUGGAUUAUCAAGUCUCUUGUGAAAUCUAAUAGCUUAACUAUUAAAUUGCUUGGGAAACUGAUAGUCUAGAGUAGGGGAGAGGCAGAUGGAACUCUUGGUGUAGGAGUAAAAUCCGUAGAUAUCAAGAAGAAUACCUAUUGCGAAAGCGAUCUGCUAGAACCUAACUGACACUGAUGCACGAAAGCGUGGGGAGCAAACAGG